GAUUGCUUUCUCCAGAGUGUCAGCUAGUCCAAAUGUGGUCACAGCAUAGUGUGGUCCUGCUGCCCAGCCACCAGUGCCACUCCCAUUUCUUCAUGAAGCACACGGAAGUUGCCAGAUCUCUGGACUACAAGAAUUCAGGGC
rnacentral:lncRNA from 12 species